rnacentral:rRNA from 1 species
UUCGUAGGCGGUGUGGCAAGUUGGGAGUGAAAUCUCUGGGCUUAACCCAGAGGCUGCUUCCAAAAACUGCUGUGCUUGAGUGUGGGAGAGGCGCGUGGAAUUGCAGGUGUAGCGGUGAAAUGCGUAGAUAUCUGCAGGAACACCCGUGGCGAAAGCGGCGCGCUGGACCACAACUGACGCUGAGGAACGAAAGCUAGGGGAGCAAACAGGAUUAGAUACCCUGGUAGUCCUAGCCCUAAACGAUCAGGACUUGGGGUGCCGCCCGUUCGGGCGUCGUCCCGGAGCUAACGCGUUAAGUCCUGCACCUGGGGAGUACGGUCGCAAGACUGAA